rnacentral:lncRNA from 7 species
GGGCAUGUUACAAAGCAGUGUCAGCUACUCUAGAAGAGGAAUAGGAUUUCUCAGAGCCAGACUUCACUGUUCUUUGAUUCAACUUCUACAUCUGGCUGAUGAAACAUGCCCUCCUUAUCUUUGAUGAUCUGCAAAUGUAUAAAGGCGGAGUAUACAUCUCAGAAUGACACACUGGCCAACAUGCAGGCCAGGGCCAGGCAGAGGAAAGCUCUUCAGAUGCCAUUCAUCACAUCCUUCUCCUUUGACACCUGGGACAUCAGCACUGUGAGCUGCCUUUCCUCAAGCUUUAUUUCCUUUCAGCACGGAAUUGAAGUGAUUGCUCAUACACUUCAACAGGAAAUGUAUAUGAACUUUGAAAUGGAUAGACCUCAGCCUAGAUAGAGAGACAAACCAGAUACAUGCUAUUGGGGGCAACAAUAUCUUACCUUUUAGUGGACUUGACUUCCAUACCCUGCAUUAUUUACCGUUGUCUGCAUAGGGCAUCCUUGAGGAACACCAAACACUCAUACUCUGGUUUUGAAAGCCCAGUUAUGCUAUCCAGGGUGUGUCCAGAAACCAUGUCUUCAGUGUAGGGAUGGACCACUCUGACAUCCCAGAAAGACUGUGAAGCAGGAAUGGAACCUCACACCAUCUGCAGAUUGCUCCGAGGCCAAAGUAAUAUGGACAUCUCUGAGGAAAUGAAAAGGAAGGGAAGGCAUCCCCACUGUCCUCCUCACCAAUGGUGUUUCUUCAGUGCAUUGUGGGUGUUGGAUUUUUUGCUGUUGUUGUUUGUUUUGAGUCAAAUCUCAAAAAGGUAGGAAUUGAAGUUGAAAAGUGCAUAUGUGCUUAUCUUUGGAUUUCAGCCUGGAGGUGUAUCUUCUCCAUCUUAUUUGUAUUUCUCCUUUUUCAACAGCUUUCUCCAGCCCCUCUAGUGGCAGAGGUAACUACUAUUCAAAGGAAAUGUCAGCAGGUCUUUUAGUGACUUUCCCUCUCUUCUGAGUGUUUGGCUCUUAAUUAUACAUAGAAAGAAACACAAGAGAUUAUAAUGAGAGGAAUAGCAGGCAGCCAAAACCAAACUAAUUUAUUUACAGCAUGUGACAUAUGGCAACAUAAGACAAGAUCUCUGGCUUAUGGGCAUUUUGGCAAGACACAGGCUGGAUCCUAUGAC